rnacentral:rRNA from 1 species
ACGAACGCUGGCGGCGUGCUUAACACAUGCAAGUCGAACGGAAAGGCCCUGCUUUUGUGGGGUGCUCGAGUGGCGAACGGGUGAGUAACACGUGAGUAACCUGCCCUUGACUUUUGGAUAACUUCAGGAAACUGGGGCUAAUACCGGAUAGGAGCUCCUGCUGCAUGGUGGGGGUUGGAAAGUUUCGGCGGUUGGGGAUGGACUCGCGGCUUAUCAGCUUGUUGGUGGGGUAGUGGCUUACCAAGGCUUUGACGGGUAGCCGGCCUGAGAGGGUGACCGGCCACAUUGGGACUGAGAUACGGCCCAGACUCCUACGGGAGGCAGCAGUGGGGAAUAUUGCACAAUGGGCGGAAGCCUGAUGCAGCAACGCCGCGUGCGGGAUGACGGCCUUCGGGUUGUAAACCGCUUUCGCCUGUGACGAAGCGUGAGUGACGGUAAUGGGUAAAGAAGCACCGGCUAACUACGUG